rnacentral:lncRNA from 1 species
CUCAAACUCCCGGCUCAAGUGAUCCUGGGCUCAAGUGAUCCUUGGCCCCAGCCUCCAGAGUAGCUGGGACUACAGGCACACGCCACCACACCUGGUUAAGUUUUUGUAGAGAUGGGAUCUCACUAUGCUGCCCAGGCUGGUCUCAAGCUUCUCAAAGUUCUAGGAUUACAGGCAUGAGCCACUGCGCCCAGUUGGGAUUCAUUAUUCUAUGGCGGCCACUCUAUAUCUGUUUGACAAUGUCUACACCUGAUGUAGCUGACGUCAGAACCAUCAAUGUGCUUAACAUCAGAGACUCCACCUAGACUGCCUGAGUUCAAAAAUCCCAGCUCCCAGCCAACCUUCACCUCGUUCCAUCAGCGAGUUGAGAAGGGAUGCGUUGGAGAAGAAGAACAAGUAGCCAAAAGUCUGAGACACGAGGUCAGGGUGCAGCUCGCACUGGCUGGUCAGCUCCAAGGCUGCCUGGAACACGCCCAGGGUCCAGUGGAUUUGUGCUUCCUCGCCUCCAAGAAUGAACUCGCUCACUGCUAUCCAAGCUCCAAGCCCAAUGGGCUGCGGUGAAUUCUCACACUGAUCUCUGUCAACUUCUCAUCCAGUGGGAUCUCUCCCCCACCAUCUCCCAUAAUGGUUUCUUCCUAAGAGGAUUUCAAAGAGAUAAUCCCCCUUCCAUCAAUGGAUGUUCUCAAUAUUCCUACAAUGGACUCCUACAAUGGACUCACCUAUUACUCCCACUCCCCCAACGGAGGAUUUCAAAGAGAUAACCCCCCUUCCAUCAAUGGACGUUCUCAAUAUUCCAAUCCCCAAAAAGGACAUCUCCAAAAAGAUCUCCAUACAGUGGGCUCUUCUGGUCAUUCCACGGAUAAAUAAAUGCCUUCACGGACAACCUCUUACCAUGGAGUGUUCCAUCUCAUUUAUCAAAUGAAGACAGGCAUUCCAGAAGACCUCGUCCUAAAAAAUGGACUCUCAUCUCCAUUCCAUAAAUGUAGAACCACUCAAUCUGACCCCCUUCCAUUCGCCAACCAUGUCUGAGACAACAGGCAUCUUGAUAUGCAUAGAUCCCCCUUCUACACUAAAUUCUACCAUUACCCCUACCCCAUGAAUGGGUGUUUCCAAAAAGACUCCUACCUCCAAAAGAUUUGCUCAUCUACCCUUGUAGAAAAAUGGGUCUUUCCAGUCUUACCACCUUCUGAAGGUAGACUCUCCUGUUCUUCAUUCCUGUCUGAAGGAAUGGGAUGACCCAAAAUAAAAGCCCCCUUUCUACAAUGGGCUCUCCUGCUCCCUAACCCAGGAAGGGAUGCUUUCUUGGCACCUACAGUGAACUUUCACUUCACAGCCACUCCAUGAAUCGGCA